rnacentral:rRNA from 1 species
UACGGGGGGAGCAAACGUUGUUCGGAAUUACUGGGCGUAAAGGGCGUGCAGGCGGUCCUGUAAGAGAGGUGUGAAAUGCCCUGGCUCAACCAGGGACAUGCACCUCUGACUGCAGGACUUGAGUAUAGGAGAGGAUGGGGGAAUUCCCGGUGUAGCGGUGAAAUGCAUUGAUAUCGGGAGGAACACCAGUGGCGAAGGCGCCCAUCUGGCCUAAUACUGACGCUCAGGCGCGAAAGCUAGGGGAGCAAAC